GAGAGGGGAGCUGCGGCACCUGCCCUAAUUUUUCCAGCUCCGGUUCUUCUGCCCAGUGCGUUGCGCGCUGGAAAUCCCAGGUGCAGAUGGACGGGGAUGUGGUCGUAAUAGGACCUCGGAUCACCCCCGUUCUGGCUGUGCCUGAGCCGCACUUGCGUGUCUUUGCCCGCUGAAGAGCUGCCCUAAGGGCUACGGGGGGAGGUCCCUGCUGGCAGCCACACGGUGUGCAGGUUGGCGCUUUUGGGGACAGGUCCCCUGCCCCGCUCCUGAGGCCACCCCUGCGCAAAGAGCGCAGCUCUGAGCGGUCCCAAGUUGAACUGCAGCUGCCGCUGGCGGCGGGAGGCUUUGCUGUAACCCCGCUGAGAAGCCGUCCCGAGCGGCGCGGGUCUGCCCUGGCUCGUGGCCUGAGCCGGGGGGGUGUGCACGUGGGUCCCUGCGCACUGGCCUACGUAGGUAUGUGCAGAAGAGGAUUUGCUUUUCCUGGAAUGCCGGCGCUGUGUAUGUUGGAGAAACUCGUCGAUUAGAAGAGCAAAAGGACAGCGCACGAUUACUCGCCCGAGACGAACGCGGGCCGUAAGCUCAUUAAGGGCUUGGAGGCUGCCUGCUGGAGCAGGGGCGUUGCAGUCCCUGGCUGUUGGGAGACCGCUGCACGUCGCUCCCAGAGCUUUGCCUUCCCAGAACGGCGGGAGCCCCUCGGAGACCCCAGCCAUGCUGGCGACCCUGAUGACAGCGCUGUUUUUUGUGGUGAGAGCGUUUGGGCAGGUGAGUCUGGGCUGGCCUGGCAGCAGGGAGGCUUUAGUGCUUUCCGCUUCAGUUCGAGGAGCGUGUGGGUGAUCUUCUUGGAGGAGGUGGUGAGCAGCGGGGAACGUGGGCUUGGCCACUGCCCCCAGCGGCUCUGCUCCUCGCCAGCACAUUGCCCGUGGCGCUGGCCGGGGGCACGGCGGAGGGUCUGGCACCCUAGCAUCGGCAGGAUCACCCGCAGUUUGGCGGGGGGCGGUUCCCUGUUGCACCCCCGCCUGCGGGAAGCAAGCGCAGGUACUUGGGCUUCCCAGUCUGGCGAGUGCAAACGUGCACGCCGAGUCUCGGAGCUCUUUGGGUUGGGGGGAGAAGGAAAACGCUCCCCUGUGUUGGGCUGCUCUCCACCGGGGAGAGGGAAGAGAGUGGAAAUGGCUGCUAGGUUGGCCACGGGCUGUGUCACCGGCCGGGCGGCCUCUGGAAGGACAGGCAGUCAUUCCCGGCCCCCUGAGCCUGCCUCUGGCUCUCCUAGCCCCGGCCCCAGCGCUGUGAUCCCUGGUGAUGCCUACGGAGGAGCAGCGCGCUCUGUCGCUCCUCUGCUUCCCUCCUCUCCUCUUACCUGCUGCAAAUCCUUUCCGCGUCCAGCUCGGGACCAACCUGUUCCGUGAGGAGCCCCUGCCGUACCUCGUGUACCAGCCCCUGCCCUGGCAGAUCCAGUGCGUGACACAGAGCCGCCGCACCAGCCGGGACAGCGAGAAAGGCAGGAGCUCUCGGCACAACAGCAUCUACUCGAUUUCUGGAGAGAAAGGUGAGCGUGGAGCCCGCAGAGACAGCCCUGCCCAAGUAGUGGGGGCAACUCAAGGUUGUGACCGUGGGACGCAGCAUUGCAGUCCCUGGACCCUUCUGGGCCCCCUUCUUCUUCCAAAAUACCUCUUACCGUCACCAGGCAGGGAUUUCUUUGGGAGCCAGCUCUCUGGGAGGGAGGCCCUCUCGGCGAGGUAGCUUUCUGGCCAGCCCAGCCUAGGGCUUGCCGGCGGCGCUGUGGUUUUGGCCAGUUCUCCUCCCUGUGGAGGGUGCCCUUCCUGCCACCCCCGGGAGGGCGCGUGGGUACCCACGGGAUGCUGAGAUGUUCUUUAAAGCCUGUAGCAGCGGCAGGCGAAGGCCCUAGUGUGAAUGCACACCAGCACACGUGUGUGUGUGUGUGUGCAGAUGCCUGCCUUCCUCUUCCCAUGAAACCUGCCCCAGCGUAGCACACGGGUCCCUGUCCCCCAAAGCAGGGCCCCUUUUCUCCUUGGCCUGGCAAAAACCACCCUGAUUUUGUCCCCCUCUCCUCCUCCUUGCUCUUGCCGCUAAGACUCUGCCCCCUCUGCUGAAGUCAAGCGCUCAGCAAAGAGGAUUUGAGCACUUCUAUUCUCAGGGCGGCUCGGGCGGCA